rnacentral:misc_RNA from 2 species
UUAAUCGCGCGAAAGAAGCGCUGCGCGAGCGGUAAAUCGUUGAAGAUAAGAAGAUACGGGGGCUGGUCACGCGUGUCACAAGUCUGUUAUACUUACCUUACACAUUGGGGCUGAUUCUGGAUUCGACGGGAUUUGCGAAACCCAAGGUGCAUGCCGAGGGGCGGUUGGCCUCGUAAAAAGCCGCAAAAAAAUAGUCGCAAACGACGAAAACUACGCUUUAGCAGCUUAAUAACCUGCUUAGAGCCCUCUCUCCCUAGCCUCCGCUCUUAGGACGGGGAUCAAGAGAGGUCAAACCCAAAAGAGAUCGCGCGGAUGCCCUGCCUGGGGUUGAGGCGUUAAAACGAAUCAGGCUAGUCUGGUAGUGGCGUGUCCGUCCGCAGGUGCCAGGCGAAUGUAAAGACUGACUAAGCAUGUAGUACCGAGGAUGUAGGAAUUUCGGACGCGGGUUCAACUCCCGCCAGCUCCAC